GCCCCUGUAGCUCAGCCUGGAUAGAGCGAUUGCCUUCUAAGCAAUAAGUCGCAGGUUCGAAUCCUGUCGGGGGCA
rnacentral:tRNA from 1 species